rnacentral:rRNA from 1 species
AUUGAACGCUGGCGGCAUGCCUUACACAUGCAAGUCGAACGGCAGCACGGGUGCUUGCACCUGGUGGCGAGUGGCGAACGGGUGAGUAAUACAUCGGAACGUACCUUAUCGUGGGGGAUAACGCAGCGAAAGCUGUGCUAAUACCGCAUACGCCCUGAGGGGGAAAGCGGGGGAUCGAAAGACCUCGCGCGAUUAGAGCGGCCGAUGCCUGAUUAGCUUGUUGGUGGGGUAAAAGCCCACCAAGGCGACGAUCAGUAGCUGGUCUGAGAGGACGAUCAGCCACACUGGGGCUGAGACACGGCCCAGACUCCUACGGGAGGCAGCAGUGGGGAAUUUUGGACAAUGGGGGCAACCCUGAUCCAGCAAUGCCGCGUGAGUGAAGAAGGCCUUCGGGUUGUAGAGCUCUUUUGUCAGGGAAGAAACACCGGCUCUAACACAGUCCGGGAAUGACGGUACCUGAAGAAUAAGCACCGGCUAACUACGUGCCAGCCGCCGCAGUAA